ACUCAUGGUAUCCUUAGUACGGCGAGUGAAGCGGUAAAAGCUCAAAUUUGAAAUCUGGUACUUUCAGUGCCCGAGUUGUAAUUUGUUGAAUUUGUCUUUGAUUAGGUCCUUGUCUAUGUUCCUUGGAACAGGACGUCAUAGAGGGUGAGAAUCCCGUUUGGCGAGGUUACCUUUUCUCUGUAAGACUUUUUCGAAGAGUCGAGUUGUUUGGGAAUGCAGCUCAAAGUGGGUGGUAAAUUCCAUCUAAAGCUAAAUAUUGGCGAGAGACCGAUAGCGAACAAGUACAGUGAUGGAAACAGUAAGAACUUUGAAAAGAGAGUGAAAAAGUACGUGAAAUUGUUGAAAGGGAAGGGCAUUUGAUCAGACAUGGUGUUUUUUGCAUGCACUCGCCUCUCGUGGGCUUGGGCCUCUCAAAAAUUUCACUGGGCCAACAUCAGUUCUGGCAGCAGGAUAAAUCAUUAAGAAUGUAGCUACCUCGGUAGUGUUAUAGCUUAUUGGAAUACUGCUAGCUGGGAUUGAGGACUGCGCUUCGGCAAGGAUGUUGGCAUAAUGGUUAAAUGCCGCCCGUCUUG
rnacentral:rRNA from 1 species